ensembl:snRNA U6 U6 spliceosomal RNA
GUGCUUAGUCUUGCAGCACAUAUACAGUCCUAAAAUUGGAACGAUAUAGAGAUUGGCAUAGCCCUUGCACAAGCAUGACACACAAAUUUAUGAAGCAUUCCAUAUUUUG